UACGUAGGGGGCAAGCGUUGUCCGGAUUUAUUGGGCGUAAAGAGCGUGUAGGCGGCCAAACAGGUCAGCUGUGAAAACUCGAGGCUCAACCUCGAGACGUCGGUUGAAACCGUUUGGCUAGAGUCCGGAAGAGGAGAGUGGAAUUCCCGUGAUGAGCGGUGAAAUGCGCAGAUAUCGGGAAGAACACCCGUGGCGAAGGCGGCUCUCUGGGACGGUACUGGACGCUGAGACGCGAAAGCGUGGGGAGCGAACAGG
rnacentral:rRNA from 1 species